rfam:Erinaceus europaeus unplaced genomic scaffold scaffold00680, whole genome shotgun sequence
GGAUGAAAGUGACUUGGCUGCAUCAUCUGUCACCCCAUUGGUCACCAGGAUUGAUGUGAGGCUGCUAGGCAAGUGUCCCCUUCAUUACUCACUGCUCCAUGUGUGUGCUUGGCCAAAGGGGAUGCCCUUCCCCGAGUAGAGACAGACUAGUCUUCAGUCGAGGUUGUAUGAGAAGUUUCUCACCCCUGCUAAAUUCUCAAAACAAGCUCUCCUGGUCCAUCAAAAAGGUAAAAAUUAGCCCCUGUAUUUUCAUAUUUUCAUUAUUUUAACAAUUAUU